rnacentral:tRNA from 1 species
CGCGGGAUGGAGCAGUGGUAGCUCGCUAGGCUCAUAAUCUAGAAGUCGGAGGUUCGAGUCCUUCUCCCGUAA